ACCCAGGUGACCCAGGUGACAGCCAGGUGACACAGAGCUGACACAGAUGACACAGGAGGUGACACAGAGCUGACCCAGGUGACCCAGGUGACAGCCAGGUGACACUGACCGGCGUUGGGGCCCGCGGCGGGGCCGCCUUUGCCGCCCUCGGGCAGGGCCGGGCGCUUGGGGUCCAUCAGGAAAUUGUUGAAGAACAAAACCUCCUUGCGCACGGCGCCCAUCUUGUCCCCGUGCUUGUUAAAGAUGUGUUUGCGCACGAACUCGGGGCCCUGGGGACAGCAGGGACAGCAGGGGACAUCAGGGACAGCAGGGACAUUGGGGGAUCAGGGGACAUCAGGGGACAUUGGGGGACAUUGGGGACAUCGGGGUCACACAGCCCCAUCUUGUCCCCGUGCUUGUUAAAGAUGUGUUUGCGCACGAACUCGGGGCCCUGGGGACAGCAGGGACAGCAGGGGACAUUGGGGACAUUGGGGACAUCAGGGACAUUGGGGGAUCAGGGGACAUCAGGGGACAUUGGGGACAUUGGGGACAUCAGGGGACAUUGGGGACAUUGGGGGAUCCAGGGGACAUUGGGAUUGGGGGACUGACCCUCCACUGUCCUCCAGUGUCCCCAGGGUGUCCCCAAUGCCCCCACAGUGUCCCCAGUGAUCCCAGGGUGUCCCCAGGGUGUCCCCAGGUGUCCCCAGGGUGUCUCCAGGGUGUCCCCAAUGCCCCCAGGGUGUCCCCAAUGGUCCCAGG
ensembl:lncRNA